AGCAGCACCACGGAGGCUACACUCAGGUCUCUCAGCAACAUGAUGUCACGUCCUGCCUGAGUUACGUAAUGGUCUCAAUCUAUGCGGGAAGGUUGAUGUUACAGUAAGAGACUACCAUAUUCUCAACCAACCUGGACAUCCAUAAGGAGGCUCCCACAGCUCCCACAGUUUACAAUAAUGUAUUACCCAUUAAGUCAGCUAUGUUCUACUACUGGCACCAUUUUGGCCAUGGAAAUGUCCCUCACCUGUCUCCCAGCGCUCCUGUCUCAUGAGCCUUCUUACUACGUCUUCGUCAACUUCAGUGCUACUGCUUGCAGCGUGGACACAAACUAGCUCCUGGGAAUCAGGGCGUCUUCUGUAGGUACAGCAGUUUGAAGCCGUCUGAAGAGCUGGUAGACAGGAGCACUUGAGAACUAACUGAGCCUGCAUUGGAGACUUCACCCCUUAAUCAGCCUGUCUGAAAUAUGUAAGACAUUGUUUAUCGCAAAAAAAUGUACAAUUAAAAACUAACAGAAACACAUCA